GCUGAGCUACCCGUGAAUACUUUUACCCUCUCGUAUUACGAACUACUUACGUUCUAACUCAACACUUCUAUUUUUACUUUCACUCCCGUUUUUCUUCAUUAAAAUGCUUCUUUAUUGUUGCAAAAAAGUUUAGCAACGCCGCGCUCGGAACGCUAUUUCGAUGAACGCUUACUUCGAUCGCUUGUGCGUCUCCACCAAAAUCUUGUGCUCUCCAAAGUGUGCUCGUCAUCAUACAAAGUUCGCUAAAUCGAAUGGCGACGAAGGCAAAUUACGAAACACUGCGUAUUCGGGGGAAAUCCGAACGUGGCUUCGACACUCCGAAAUCGAUUGUCGAGGUUUCGUCGGAAGAUUUCGUCGAGAAAAUGUCCCGAGGAAAAAAGGGAGAACCAGCAAUGAAGAAAACCGAGAGCAAAAGAUGACGAGCGUUACGCGCAUUUCCUGCUUUGUUUUCAAGUUUACUGAAAUCCUCGAUGCGGCACGAAGAAGAAAGAUCAAGAAAAGAGAGUAUCUCGUAAUGAGAAUACUUUCAUUGUUGUUCACAUUCUGCGUGCAAUCCUUCCAAGCGCAGCAUACUUUUGCUGUGCCUGAGAUAUUGGAGAAAAAAUCGAAAUAAUAAAAGAAAUAAAAAGUC